AAAAAUUUUAAUUUUUUGGUCGUAUAUUGCUAUCACGUUGGCGUCGUCGUCUGCGUCGUCGUCGUCGUCGUCGUCCGAAUACUUUAGUUUUCGCACUCUAACUUUAGUAAAAGUGAAUAGAAAUCAAUGAAAUUUUAACACAAGGUUUAUGACCACAAAAGGAAGGUUGGGAUUGAUUUUGGGAGUUUUUGUCCCAAUAUUUUAGGAAUUAGGGGCCAAAAAGGGCCCAAAUAAGCAUUUUCUUGGUUUUCGCACUAUAACUUUAGUUUAAGUGAAUAGAAAUCUAUGAAAUUUUGACACAAGGUUUAUGACCACAAAAGGACGGUUGGGAUUGAUUUUGGGAGUUUUGGUUCCAACAGUUUAGGAAUUAAGGGCCAAAAAAGGGCCCAAAUAAGCAUUAUUCUUGGUUUUCGCACAAUAACUUUAGUAUAAGUAAAUAGAAAUCAAUGAAAUUUAAACACAAGGUUUAUGACACAAAAAGGAAGGUUGGGAUUGAUUUUUGGAGUUGAGGUCACAACAGUUUAUGAAUUAGGGGCCAAAAAGGGGCCCAAAUAAGCAUUAUUUUUGGUUUUUGCACCAUAACUUUAGUAUAAGUAAAUAGAAAUCUAUGAAAUUUAAACACCAUGUUUAUGACCAUAAAAGGAAG
rnacentral:lncRNA from 1 species